UCGUUCACAAAGGGGAGCCGUUUGGCUGAGAUUGUAGAUUACUAAACCCUUCGUACCUGUAUCGAUCAUUCGAACGUAGGAAUUGUGACAAGUCUGAAG
rnacentral:ncRNA from 2 species